UACAUAGGGUGCAAGCGUUGUCCGGAAUUAUUGGGCGUAAAGAGCUCGUAGGCUGUCUGUUGCGUCCGCUGUGAAAACUCGGGGCUUAACUCCGGGCCUGCAGUGGGUACGGGCAGACUAGAGUGCGGUAGGGGAGACUGGAAUUCCUGGUGUAGCGGUGAAAUGCGCAGAUAUCAGGAGGAACACCGGUGGCGAAGGCGGGUCUCUGGGCCGUAACUGACGCUGAGGAGCGAAAGCGUGGGGAGCGAACAGG
rnacentral:rRNA from 1 species